UUUCCUCCUUCAGUCUUCACUAAAGAACUUGUAACUAACUCCACAUUAAGAGAAGUCACUCCAAGAGAAGCUGCUUGGGAUUGGUUUAAGGGAAAAUUAGCACUUUUGUCUUUUACUUAAUUUGUUCAAGAAGGGAUUCACAUGAUGGAGAGCCCCUCUCAUUCGAUGAGAUAGGUCCUUCCUUAACUGGAUCUAGCCGAUCCCAC
rnacentral:lncRNA from 1 species